rnacentral:lncRNA from 1 species
GGACAUGGUCACCACGCGCUGGUAGCCGUGGCGGUGGUGGCCGGCGCAGUGGGCGCCUACUUCUUCUGGCCUGCCGGCGUGGCCGCCGGCGCAAUGAUGAAGGCCCCAGGCGCCGCCGGAUUUGUCAUCUCGCGCGCGGCCAUCCUGGCCAACCCGGAACUCUACUUUCAUCUCCUGCGCACCGCCGGACGCAAGGCAGCGGUCGCCGCCUUCCUUUAGUAGGGAAGCGCAGCACAUGCAUGCAUGCAUGCAUGUCCCUUCCGUCUAUCUAUCUACUGAAGUUAGUGUUGUCUUUGUCUACUAGAAAUGUUCGGUGUGUUGAUCUAUCUUAUAUUACCAGUGUACUACUCCAGAUCUGUUGAUCGGCCGCUAGCUAGUUCCUUCUGUCGAUCCUACCGAAGUUCGAUGUUAUGCCCAAUUUAAGAAGAUGUUGUGUGUGUGUGUCAAAUUAUCUUAGUGCGCUCUCUUGAUUUGCAUGUCUCUUAAUUAUGACCUGUGAUCUAGUAUAUCCGUGCUACAACGUCAGGAUUGUAGAUGGAUCUAGCGUUUGUGUGCAGCACAUUUGAGGCUUAGCAUUCAGUGUUUGUUCAAGUUCUUUCUUGUGUGACAUUGCGGUGUAAGCAUUAAUUUGUCCCUUUUUUCUGUCUCGAGUCAGAUGAUCUCUCCCCUUACGGAAAAAAAAAA